AGCGAACGCUGGCGGCAGGCCUAACACAUGCAAGUCGAACGAACUCUUCGGAGUUAGUGGCGGACGGGUGAGUAACACGUGGGAACGUGCCUUUUGGUUCGGAAUAACUCAGGGAAACUUGUGCUAAUACCGAAUGUGCCCUUCGGGGGAAAGAUUUAUCGCCAUUAGAGCGGCCCGCGUCUGAUUAGCUAGUUGGUGAGGUAACGGCUCACCAAGGCGACGAUCAGUAGCUGGUCUGAGAGGAUGACCAGCCACACUGGGACUGAGACACGGCCCAGACUCCUACGGGGGGCAGCAGGGGGGAAUUUUGCGAAAGGGGCGAAAGCCUGACGCAGCCAUGCCGGGGGAAUGAUGAGGGGCUUAGGUUUGAAAAAUUCUUUCACCGGGGACGAUAAUGACGGUACCCGGAGAAGAAGCCCCGGCUAACUUCGU
rnacentral:rRNA from 1 species